AGAGUUUGAUCCUGGCUCAGGAUGAACGCUAGCUACAGGCUUAACACAUGCAAGUCGAGGGGCAGCAUGUUGGUUGCUUGCAACCAAUGAUGGCGACCGGCGCACGGGUGAGUAACGCGUAUCCAACCUACCCUUGUCCAUCGGAUAACCCGUCGAAAGGCGGCCUAACACGAUAUGCGGUUCACCGCAGGCAUCUAACGUGAACGAAAUGUGAAGGAGAAGGAUGGGGAUGCGUCUGAUUAGCUUGUUGGCGGGGUAACGGCCCACCAAGGCAACGAUCAGUAGGGGUUCUGAGAGGAAGGUCCCCCACAUUGGAACUGAGACACGGUCCAAACUCCUACGGGAGGCAGCAGUGAGGAAUAUUGGUCAAUGGACGAGAGUCUGAACCAGCCAAGUAGCGUGCAGGAUGACGGCCCUAUGGGUUGUAAACUGCUUUUAUAGGGGGAUAAAGUGUGCCACGUGUGGCAUAUUGCAGGUACCCUAUGAAUAAGGACCGGCUAAUUCCGUGCCAGCAGCCGCGGUAAUACGGAAGGUCCGGGCGUUAUCCGGAUUUAUUGGGUUUAAAGGGAGCGUAGGCCGUUUGGUAAGCGUGUUGUGAAAUGUCGGGGCUCAACCUGGGCAUUGCAGCGCGAACUGCCAGACUUGAGUGCGCAGGAAGUAGGCGGAAUUCGUCGUGUAGCGGUGAAAUGCUUAGAUAUGACGAAGAACUCCGAUUGCGAAGGCAGCCUGCUGUAGCGCAACUGACGCUGAAGCUCGAAAGCGUGGGUAUCGAACAGGAUUAGAUACCCUGGUAGUCCACGCGGUAAACGAUGGAUGCUCGCUGUUUGCGUCUGACGUAAGCGGCCAAGCGAAAGCGUUAAGCAUCCCACCUGGGGAGUACGCCGGCAACGGUGAAACUCAAAGGAAUUGACGGGGGCCCG
rnacentral:rRNA from 1 species